GUUCCUAUGGUCUAGUGGUUAUGACGCUUCGUUGUGGUGGAGCAUCAUUCGGUGCUUUCGCAUCCGAAGCAGCCCGUGUUCGAUUCACGGUGGGGACA